ensembl:lncRNA
UGACCCCUCAGAUUUAUCUGGUGACCCGUUGGAGGGGCUCGACCCUUAGGUUGGGAGUCACUAGCCUUAGAUGAAGCUUCACCUGAGUAUUGAAACCACCACAUUAAUGUCUCCCACAUACAUCUUUCUGCAGAGUACCCUGACUUUUAAAUACAUGCAGCUUUAUUUCUUCAACCGGGACUGGGACUUAUAUAAAUAAACAGAUGCUUCACGCUCGGCCGACCGGUUGUCAUCUGUAAACCCUGAAGAUCAGAACUUGUGUACAUGCAGCAGCAGCAGCUAUACAUUCAUGUCUUGGGGAGUAAUGAGGAUGCACGGAGGCUUCCCGCACAGAGCUGCAGGCCCCUCACGCUCUCCC